rnacentral:sRNA from 1 species
GGCCAAGAUGGCGGCGGAGCUGGUGGAGGCCAAAAACAUGGUGAUGAGUUUUCGAGUGUCCGACCUUCAGAUGCUCCUGGGUUUUGUGGGCCGGAGUAAGAGUGGACUGAAGCACGAGCUCGUCACCAGGGCCCUCCAGCUGGUGCAGUUUGACUGUAGCCCUGAGCUGUUCAAGAAGAUCAAGGAGCUGUACGAGACCCGCUACGCCAAGAAGAACUCGGAGCCUGCCCCACAGCCGCACCGGCCCCUGGACCCCCUGACCAUGCACUCCACCUACGACCGGGCCGGCGCUGUGCCCAGGACUCCGCUGGCAGGCCCCAAUAUUGACUACCCCGUGCUCUACGGAAAGUACUUAAACGGACUGGGACGGUUGCCCGCCAAGACCCUCAAGCCAGAAGUCCGCCUGGUGAAGCUGCCGUUCUUUAAUAUGCUGGACGAGCUGCUGAAGCCCACCGAAUUAGGGAACUGCAGCCCGGAGUUAAAGCCGUGCAGGUCGUCCUGAGAAUCUGUUACUCAGACACCAGCUGCCCUCAGGAGGACCAGUACCCGCCCAACAUCGCUGUGAAGGUCAACCACAGCUA